UACAGAGGGUGCAAGCGUUGUUCGGAAUUAUUGGGCGUAAAGAGCUCGUAGGCGGUUUGUCGCGUCUGCUGUGAAAACCCGAGGCUCAACCUCGGGCCUGCAGUGGGUACGGGCAGACUAGAGUGCGGUAGAGGAGAGUGGAAUUCCCGGUGUAGCAGUGAAAUGCGUAGAGAUCGGGAGGAACAUCAGUUGCGAAGGCGGCUCUCUGGACCAGCACUGACACUGAGGCACGAAAGCGUGGGGAGCAAACAGG
rnacentral:rRNA from 1 species